AACGUAGGGGGCAAGCGUUAUCCGGAUUUACUGGGUGUAAAGGGAGCGUAGGUGGCUAGGUAAGUCAGGUGUGAAAGCCCGGGGCUCAACCCCGGGAUUGCACUUGAAACUAUUUAGCUAGAGUGCAGGAGAGGUAAGUGGAAUUCCUAGUGUAGCGGUGAAAUGCGUAGAUAUUAGGAGGAACACCGGUGGCGAAGGCGACUUACUGGACUGUAACUGACACUGAGGCUCGAAAGCGCGGGGAGCAAACAGG
rnacentral:rRNA from 1 species